CACGCUUGGCACGCCGCGUGUACGCUCGGCGACACGCGUGCAGCCGGCCACCGAAGCUACAUUGCAGCUUCGGCGGCUUCUACGUGUAGCUGCCAGGUUUGCAGUGUGCUGGCCGAUGAUGCGGCAAGGCGCAGAAACAGGAAACCACAGAUAACGAUGUUAUCACGGCUGUGCGACUCUGGUUUGGGUUCAUUUCUCAUUGUUAGACCUGAGUUCGCGGAAAAAUCUCGGAAAAUGUUUUCCCGAGCACCCGUGAGCACAGGAACGAAUGUAGAGAAGAGCGAUGUGAGCCGAAGCCUCUUUUUUAGGGGCCUUUAAAUACGGCCCUGCCGGUGAGCAGGGUUUAUUCGAAUUCUCGGAGUAUCGUUCCUCCACUGCGAUCGAUCUUAUAAAGUGAGACGGCAGUGGAAUCGGAUGUAAUAACACGAUGUACAAGGGAUAUUUUCCAGCUGACCCUGAAACGACGGAGUACAGGUACGAUUGAAAAUAUGCUGUAACAAUAAAACGAUUGCCUGCCUCAGGCGCCCGGAUUUUUCCGCUGUAAGGAAAAGCUCACGGUAUAUAAUUUUCUUCAUCGUACGUACAUACAUGGUAAAAAUCAGGCUGACGUAACAUUUGUUGUACAAGAAAAUCAUCGAGCGUAACAGUGAUCGCAGUCCCAAAGUCGAGAAUUGGAACAUGAGAAAUGUCCUUCACCGCGGUGGGUGUGUGUAUGACGUAUUAGUCACGCGUGUGGUAACCAUGUGACUGACGAUCGGGCAAAGUGCGAAAUAUCGCUUGACGAACCUGCGGAAUCUAUGCAGGCUAUUGAUCGAAUACCACAAUAAUUUUUUCCCUCGUCAAUAAAGCUGGUUUCAACGAGUCAUUCUACGACAUUGUUUGAACAAAUUCUCCCAGAGAUAUAUUUUUAAUUGUACUGUAUCAAUCGUUAGAAUAAAUUUAUCUGUAUUUCUUUCUCACCGACGAAAGUAUUCAAUAUUAGUCAGACUACUUUUGCCAUCAAAGAAUAUCUUCAAUUUGUGACAGGAAAAUUUGAAGAAAUAAAUAUUUCUAUUCCCCUACACCCAUAUAAUUGAAAAGGUUUGCAACAUUUAGCGAAAUGGUUCUUCGAUAUCACUUGAUGAUGCCA
rnacentral:lncRNA from 1 species